rnacentral:rRNA from 1 species
CCUACGGGAGGCAGCAGUGGGGAAUCUUGCGCAAUGGCCUAACGGCUGACGCAGCGACGCCGCGUGUGGGAGGACGCCCCUCGGGGUGUAAACCACUGUUGCCCGGGACGAACGGCCUUUUUCGAGAGGCGUGACGGUACCGGGUGAGGAAGCACCGGCUAACUCCGUGCCAGCAGCCGCGGUAAUA